AUAUUUGGGUCGGGGAUUAAUUCUUUGCUUUUCAACUUACAUCCUAUUCUUCUGACUCUAAAGCCAAGACUAAACCCUGCCCAAAUAGGCUCUUAGAAGCAUAGGAGCAAGAAAUGAUAUAUUUAAAACCCAACUCUUUGAAUGUUAUAUUACGUGCAUUUUAAAUAAUAAAGA
rnacentral:misc_RNA from 1 species